rnacentral:rRNA from 1 species
GCGGACGGCUCAUUAACACGUGGUUAACAUACCCUCAGGUGGGGGAUAACCUUGGGAAACUGAGGAUAAUACCCCAUAGAAAAAGCAGUCUGGAACGAUUCUUUUUCGAAAGCAUAUGCGCCUGAGGAUUGGACUGCGCUCGAUUAGGUAGUUGGUGGGGUAAUGGCCUACCAAGCCUACGAUCGGUACGGGCCUUGAGAGAGGAAGCCCGGAGAUGGGGACUGAGACACGGCCCCAGGCCCUACGGGGCGCAGCAGGCGCGAAACCUCCGCAAUGCACGAAAGUGCGACGGGGGGAUCCCAAGUGCUCAUGCACAGCAUGGGCUUUUAUCAAGUGUAAACAGCUUGAGGAAUAAGGGCUGGGCAAGUUCGGUGCCAGCAGCCGCGGUAACACCGACGGCCCGAGUGGUGGCCACUUUUAUUGGGCCUAAAGCGUCCGUAGCCGGUCCAGUAAGUCCUUGUUUAAAUCCUGCGGCUUAACCGCAGGACUGGCAGGGAUACUGCUGGACUUGGGACCGGGAGAGGACAAGGGUACUUCAGGGGUAGCGGUGAAAUGUGUUGAUCCUUGAAGGACCACCUAUGGCGAAGGCACUUGUCUGGA